CUUGUUGUUAAAAUGAAGUUAAUGUAAUUUCACAAACAGUAGAGUUAAUGAGUUUUUCCAUUAACAAGAAUUUCUUAAAAUAAUAAUGUAUGGAUAUCAUUUGGAAAGUGACAUGAAAUGUUGUUAAAAAGUGAUGCAUACAAGUGUUUCAGAAGUCUGUCUAGGAAUAGAACAACAACUGAAGCUGACCAGUUGAUGGAAGAUACUGCAGAGUUUGGCAGGGAAAUAACCCAAGACAGCAAAGCGGCUCUUUUGGCGCAUUUACCAAGAGGACUAACAUGGCCACAAAUUCAUGAGAUCAUGCAGGAGCCGUACAGUAUAACAGCAGUACAAGUUCUAUAAAAGAUCCACGACCUACUGAAGCCCAGCUAAUUAACAAAAAAGUUUUUAAAAACUGUAAUUUUAUCCCACCUGGGUACUUAUAAUUUACUAAGCUGCCUACACAAGUUUUAGACUUGCAAUUAUAUUUUAAAUUGUCACUUGGAAAGUAAUACAUGUACAUGAAUUAUGUUCUGAAUUUCUUUGAACAAUAAAAUUAUAUAAAAGUAUUUUAAUGAAAUUAAGCACCUAAAUUGCAUUAAAGUGAAAGUAGCUGAGAACAAGAUGUGUUUGUGAAACACAAUGUCCCCCUAUAUGACGUUUGACCUUGAAGGAUGACCUUGACCUUGACCCUUCACCACUCAAAAUGUGCAGCUCCAUGAGAUACACAUGCAUGUCAAAUAUAAAAUUGCUAGCUUCAAUAUUGCAGAAGUUACAUUACAUGAGCAAUUUUGACCCAUAUAUUUGACCUAGAAGGAUGACCUUGACCUUGACCUUUCACCACUCAAAAUGUGCAGCUCCAUAAGUUACACAUGCAUGCCAAAUAUCAAGUUGCUAUCUUCAAUAUUGCAAAAGUUUUCAUAAAAUAAGUGAUUUGGGCCACAUAUAUUUGACCUCUGACCUUGAAGGAUGACCUUGACCUUUCACCACUCAAAAUGUGCAGCUCUAUGAGAUACACAUGCAUGCCAAAUAUCAAGUUGCUAUAUUCAAUAUAGCAAAAGUUUUUGCAAAAUGUUAAAGUUGGCGCAAACCAACCAACCAACCAACAGAC